UUGAAAUGGAAAAGACAUUUUAUUAAAAAUUAAGAAACCUCAAAGUAUUGGCAGAAACUGAUUACAACAGAUUAACCUUGUGAACUUUAGUUCUCCAUGAAAUCGUCUAACCAAUAUUAUAUCAUGAAAAUUCAGAAUAGGGUUAUUGUAGCAGUGAAAAUCCUUAUAAAACAAAAGGGAAAUUCGGGCCCUUAUGGGAUCUGACCCGAAAAUUACAAAAACCGGUCCAAACUGACUAUUUUAAUUAAGUCUGAAACAUUAACGAAUUAUUCAUUCCUCAUUCACUAUGAAUCUGCUCUUGACUUCAACAUGAAACUUAUAGUUCUUUCUCUUAGCUUUCCAACGCAUAUUAGAACAUGUGAAUACGAUUACCGUAACUCAAGUUAUGGUCUGCAUAAUGACAAUAAUUGUUUAUUCUGUUUAUUCCAAAUAAAGUAGGAAAAUAAAAUAAAGCCAAAAAUAACAAUUUAAACUUAAAUAUAAAGUAUGAAAAUAAAAUAAAGCUAAAAAUAAACUUAAAUAAAGAAACACGCUAAAAUAGUAAAAAUGAUAGAAUAAACUAUAGAGUUGUCUAAGUACAAUAGUAGAAGAAUGUGAAUCAAAAUUCGCUUAUCAAAUUCCCCCACACUUGAACUUUUGCACUUCGAGCAAAAUUAUAAAUGCAAAACUCAAAACAGAAAAAAAGAGAGCAAAACAAAACAUGUAAUUCCAAAGGUUCCCAGGAUACAAAGUGCAAACAAAAUUCUAAGUCUAAGUUUAAAAAAAAUGCCCUUAGUAAGUAACUCUUUUGUGACAUUCAAAACAAAUAUGAAAAACAAAUUACCAAAAAAUACAUCAAAAUCAACAAGAUCCUCACAAUAUAAAAUUCACUCAACUCUCAAGUGUUUAAGUUAAUUGUUUGCACUCAAAACAUUUCAUGAAAGUUAACACUAACAUAAGCUUGAAAAUACUCUAACAUCCACAAUUGAAUCAAAUGCACACAAAGAUCAAAAGGACUUUUAUUAUGUUGUAACUUGACCAGAGUAUGGGUGAGAUAAAUCCUAAGAGGUACUAGGCUAAAAUUCAAAGGGAGAAAAGACACAUGAAAGAACUCCCGGAAGUUGAACUACAUCAUUCACUUUCAAACAACAACUUUUAUGCUAUUUUUCUUCUCUUUUAUCAUUUUAUUCUCUUUUUUUCUUUUUCAGAAGGAAUAUGUAGUGACAUCCUUCUUUGUUUUUUCCAUUUUUUUUCUAUUUUUCUUCUUCUUUUUCUUCAUAUAUAUAUAUAUAUAUAUAUAUAUAUAUAUAUAUAUAUAUAUAUAUAUAUAUAUAUAUAUAUAUAUAUAUAUAUAUAUAUAUAUAUAUAUAUAUAUAUAUAUAUAUAUAUAUAUAUAUAUAUAUAUAUAUAUAUAUAUNNNNNNNNNNNNNNNNNNNNNNNNNNNNNNNNNNNNNNNNNNNNNNNNNNNNNNNNNNNNNNNNNNNNNNNNNNNNNNNNNNNNNNNNNNNNNNNNNNNNNNNNNNNNNNNNNNNNNNNNNNNNNNNNNNNNNNNNNNNNNNNNNNNNNNNNNNNNNNNNNNNNNNNNNNNNNNNNNNNNNNNNNNNNNNNNNNNNNNNNNNNNNNNNNNNNNNNNNNNUAACUCUUUUGUGUCAUUCAAAGCAAAUACGAAAAAUAGAUUACCAAAGAGUACAUCAAAAGUAGCAAGAUCCUCACAAGAUAAAAUUCACUCAACUCUCAAGUGUUUAGGUUGACUGUUUACACUUAAAUCAUAACAUCCAUAAUUGAAUUACAUGUAGACAAAGAUCAAAAUGACUUUUAUUAGGUUGUAACUUGGUCAGGGUAAAUCCUAAGGUAAACUAGGAUAAGAUUCAAAGGGAGAAAAGAGACAUGAAAGAACUUGCGGGAAUUGAAAUAUUUUCAUCUACUUUCAAACGACAACUUUUCAGCUAUUUUUCUUCUUUUUAUUUUCUUUUUAUGAAGGAAUAUGUAAUGACAUCCUUCUUCUAUUUUUCUAUUUUUUCCUGCCAACUUUUGAAUGAAAUAUCACAAUUAUAGUUAUUCAACCCUACACAACUCCAAACAAGACUCUUUCGACCCUAUAAAUGCGUGAUAAUAUUAUUUUCCAUUUUCAGGCUUGUAAUGAGUUUAAACAAAGAAUUGAAUAAUAUACUCAAAAGGUUUUCAAACAAGGGACAAUAUUAUUUAGGGUUGGAUUUUUGGCUAAGUGGCUAAAAGUAAAACAAAACAAGUUAUCUUUAUCAUAUCAGUGUGCACAAGUAAUCAAUAGUUUCAAAAAGAGGUAAUUCAAGUUCUAUAUACUAACAGACAUGAGUGAAAUCACACAAGGUUAAUUGAUCUACCACAAAUGAUGUACAAUUUAAAGUUUAGUCCUACAUAUCAUACUAAGAAUGCAAAAAAAGAAUCAAUCACAUCACACCAUAAUUCUUUAAUCAAGAGAACAAAGAAAAUACUCACAAUUGUAACUCAAAAAUCACAGAAAAAACAUGCAUUUUUUCAUGUAAGAAAACAAAUAAAAACAAAGAAACUGAAUGAAAUAAAAUAAAGUAAAUGGUUCCCUCCCCUACAUUUAAAACAUACAUUAUCCUCAAUGAAAGAACAUAAAUAUAAAAUAAGAGUGAGAGAAAGGAAAGAACACACCCGAAGAGUCAAUGCGGAUAAAUGAUCACAUAUGCAGCCUUUCCCAAAGAGAACUCUUCUACGGUCUCUUUUUUCAAAGUGGGGCUCUCAUGGAGUAUCUUUAAGUAGUGUCCAUUGACCUUGAAAUUUUGAUUAGUGCCUUCGCAUUGUAUUCCAUGAUCAAAGAAUGAUCUUCAAUAAGUAAAAGUGUUGAAUGGGCACGUGAAAGUGAUCUCCUUUUUCACAAUAUUAAGAAUUAAAGGAUUACGGGAUUGUCACUACAACAAAAAUGAGUUUAGACAACAAAGGAUAACCGCGGUAUAAACUAAUAAAACCGUUGCCUAAACGUUUAAACUACGGUUUUCCAGGCGUGGAAUAAAUAGCUGUUGCUUAUAACCAUAGAGAACGGUUUUUUAACUUUAGCCUACGCUAAUACAAAGACGUCGCCUAAAAGAUCUGAGUAAGCCACUGUUUAGAGAGUAACUUUAUACUGCGGUUUAUUUCUAGCCACACAUUUUAACUGUUGCCUUAUGGUUAAGCUACAGUUUUAGAUUUAAGCCACUCUUUAUUUGGCCUCGGUUGUAAAACCGUGGUAGUAGAAUACUAUUUAAAGAAAGUUAGAUAUAAUCUUAUUUAAUCAUCAUUGUCUAGAUUUAUUUCACCCAAAAGGUAUGAGGUAUGCCAGACAAAACAAGAAUCUACUAAAUUAAAUCAUAAUAAUUUUAUAAAAUAACUAUAAAUAUAUUUUUAAUUUACUUCAAAAAGUUGUUGCAACCAACAAUAAUCUAAAAAAAUAUUGAUAAAUAAAUUUUAAAAAUAAAAGAUAAAAAGAAGACAAAAUAUAAUCAUUACAAGGUGUCUCACUUAACUAUUACUCUUACAUUUGUUUAAAAGAAAACAUAUUAGCUCAAAAUUAUUAAAUAUUUAGAGUAACUAGAAAUAAAUGCUAUACCAUAAAAAUCAUGAUAAAAUUAAAAGCAUGAUAACUUUUUAUUUAAAACAGAAUUAUUUGAUUAUGAUUUUUUUUUAAAUAUAAUAAAUUAUACUAGAAGUGUAUUUUAUUUUGUACAUAUGUACAACAAUCGAGUUUUUUUUUAAUAUCCGGUUUUUUUAAAAAAAAUUCAAAAAUAAACAUUUUUUCAAAAAAAUUACAAAAAUGGGCAAUUUUUGCCCUAAUUUUGUACAUGGGCACCACCCUAGUUGGCGCCUAUCCUUAAAGGGUAGGGCAAGUCGCCACUAGGAGUGGCGCCUACACUCUUUUUCCUUUUUUUUUUUACAGAGAGAGAUUAUACCUGCAAGAUUCCUUAGCAAGACAAGACAAGUGCCCCGGUAGUCUGGGCACGCAAUGCAUGCCAACCUAGCCGCCACUAGCCUGGCACCUAUUCUGGCAGAAUUCGCCACACGCAUGCCUUCCACGUGUCACAACGCUUGCAUCAUCAGAUUCACCAAAUCUCUCCAAGACAAAGACAAGUGACAACCUAGUCUGGCACGCAAUGCAUGCGACUAACCCUCACUACCACCUAGCCUGCAAUCCUAUUCUGCAAGAUUCUCAACGCAUGCCUUCCAACGUGUCACACCUUUGCAUCAUUAGAUUCACAAGUCUUCUCGCAAGACAAGAAAGUGCAAAUCGCUAGUCUGGGGCACCAUGCAUGGCCAACACUCCCACUAGCCUGGCACCUAUUCUGCAAGAUUCUGCACGCAUGCCUUCCAGUGUUCACAACCUUUGGCAUCAUCAGAUUCCACCAAGGUCUUCCCCAUGACAAGCAAGUGCAACACUAGUCUGCACCAAUGCAUGCCAACGACUACCACCUAGGCCUGGCACGCUAUUCUGGCAAUGAUUCCCGCACGGCUGCCUUAUAGCACGUUCACACCUUUUGAAUCAUCAGAUUCCACCUAGUCUGUACCAAUGCAUGGCCAACUAUCCACCUAGCCUCCACCUAGUCUGAACUUAGUCUCAGAGAUUACGCAUGCCUUACAACUUGUCACACCUUUGUAUGCUACUAAAACAACUCUCCCUAGUCUGUUAGCCAAUGCAUGCUAAGCACUACCACUAGCCUCCAGCCUAGUCUGAACUUAAGUCUCAGAGAUCCCGACGCAUGCCUUAGCACUUUGUCACAUUUUUGGGCAUCAAUAGAUUCCACAGGUCUUCCCGCAACAGACAAGACAAGUCGGCGCACCUAGUCUGCACCAAUGGCAUGCCAACACUACGCCACUAGUCUGGCACGCGUAUUCUGCAAGAAUCCCACGCUGCCUUCGCACUUGUCCAAGCUUUGCAUAUUGCAGUCUAUUGAAACGAGUCAUAAAUAGAGGUCAUUCUUGGGGCCCAGUUUUUCAUCAACCACUAACACUUUUAUUAGAGAAACUCGCGGCGAACUUCUCAUCCACCAAGCUUCGUUCUACAUUGGCAGUCAUGUCUCUUCUUACGCAUGGGCAAGAAGCACAAAGGCACUUAAGGGCAAACAUUGCCUCAUUCGUAAGUUUUUCUUGAACAUUGGCCUGCUUUCGUAUUGUUUGGUAAUUUGUUUUUUUAAAAGUCCCAUCUAAUGAUUGUUAUAUUGUUUGUUUUUAAAGGAUCCAAGAAAUUUCGUCACGUUCACGACCGCCUAUGCCUUAUCCAGACCCAUGGUGCGUACCUUAGCAUAAGAGCGGGCGGUGUUUCGUCAUGUUAGGAGCAUGUCGUAAAUGCCAACAAUUGAUGUUCAAAUUCAUUUUGGCUCUGUGUGAACGUUAGAUGACCUGAGACAGCACACACUUAUAUGUCACCUACCAAUGGUGACUGUACGUCACAUAUAGAGGAGUGGUACAUGUCUUUGGGUCUUAGAAAUAGAUGGUAGCCUGUGAGCUGACAGCCUAACCAAAUAGGUUCUAAAAUGUUGGGGGUAGAUCUGGUCGAGGGUGAGGGAUCUGCCAAAGCAAGGGGUCAGGGUAUUAAAUUAUCUAGCUACAAUUGUACCACGACUCCAUAACUUUGACUGAGGAAUCCUCCGAACAAGAAAAAGUCAUAAAAACUCGGGUUUAACUUAUGCUAUUGUUUGGGAACUUGCUAUCCCGAAGGGACGGGAAAUAGCAUAACUUUAUGUACUUGAGUUUGCUCGGGGACAUUGAUAGAAUAAGCACAUAUAGUUGGGGUUCUGCUGUAUUAGCAUUCCUAUAUAGCUCUUUGUGCAAAAAUGCCAAAAUGAGCACUGUACAUUUUCUGGAUGUGCUUUUUUGCUCCAAACUGGGGUGGAGGAGAUUGCCGGAGGCUAGCCCCAGAAAAUCUAAUGUCUACUCUCUUCCCCUACGCAUCUAGGUAAAUUUAUGAUGUUAUUUCAUUUGUUAUUUUUCUAUAAAUAUUUGUAAAUAAUAUUAUUUAUCUUUUUUGUUUAGGUUCAUUACAACCGGACGGAUUACAGUCUUACCCCCAAUAAAAUUAUAUUUUAUCGUCACUCUUGGAUCGUCUCCGAGCACAAGAUGUAUUACCACUAUCACUCAGCUUCUAACUGAUUUAUUAAUAUCAUGCAUUCUCGAUAAUAACAUAUUUGCUUUUUUCUUUGCCAGUUUAUUUGGAGGCCAUAUUUGGGAUUGGAACAUCAAGCCCAACCCAAAGAUGGCAGCUGUUUGGACAGCAAAAACGGCCAUAAUGCGGUUCACUGCACUGUAGAGAUGCACCAAAGUGACCGUGUCAAGCUGCAAUUCGGAAUGCAUCAAGAAAUCCCAGGCCCCCAAUGUCUAUGGAACCUUGGCAUCUAAAAAAAGUCAGCCAACCAGUGGUAUGCCCAAAUUGGAAGGAUUUGGCUAAGGAGUUUCGUAAAAUGUGGAAAGACCGUGCCACUAUGUUCUACAAUUUCCAGUGGCGCCCAACGAAAUGAAGCCGACAAGGGAAUAUGUGGAUUGGUAUAUAGGCAAAUACAAAUCCAGAAAUGAUUGUGUCUGACCCGUUCUAAUUUGGACGAUCCCCGGAUGCAACAGCCAUAUUUCCAAAACACAACCACCACAAUAUUCCCACAACAACAACCACCACCUUAUUACCAACAACAACCACCACCACCAUUUUACCAACAACAACCACCACGCACUAUUACAACAACAACCACCACCACCAUAUUACCAACAAAACACCACAACACAUGUCCACCCACACCAAAUCAACAAUACAUACCACAAACUCAACCCCAAACAUGAAGACUACCAAACACAAACUCAACAUUCCACCCCAUCAACAGUCCACACCUACCACAAUAUCAAUCCCCCACUUCCACCAAUCCCAACACUUCCAUCACGACAAUGUCCCGAGCUCUUCCAGUCCUCCACCUAGCCCCGACACGGGUAAUCCAAGAGGACUACAAACAAGACUACUACACACCACAACAAUGAUUGUUCUUUGGGCAACCCGAUUCAACCCUAAACUACCAAAGACCACAAUUCGAGGGCGCACCAGCAGUAGUCAGUUUGUUGCCACCGAGAGCAAAAAAGCUUUGAGGGCGCAGAGGGGACCCGUCUUUCCUACUAAGCACUGAAGGGACUCGACCCAACCAACCGGCAAACGGCAAGGGGACGCGUUAGGACUAAGGGGUGGUAAUAGGGAAGCACCACCACCACGUGAACCGUCUGGCGAGUAAUUAGACCUCCCCGUGCGGAUCGUACCAGGGACCGAUCAUAUGUGAUUAUCAUAUCUUUGUAAUAUUUGUCUGUCUAUUAUUUAAAUAAAUAUUUUCUGUUUAUUAUUCUUUUUAUUCUUUAUCUUUAUCUUUAAAGUAUUGUCUAUCAUAUAUAUGUAUAAGUAUAUAUAUAUAUAUAUUAUAAUAUAUAUAUAUAUAUAUAUAUAUAUUAUAUAUAUAUAUUAUAUAUUAUUAUAUAUUAUAUAAUAUUAUAUAUAUAUAUAUAUAUAUAUAAUAUAUAUAUAUUAUUAAUUACAUGUGUAUAAAUAUUUAUUUACACGUAUAUAAAUUAUUUUUUUCCAAAAAUUUACAAAUAAUAUUAUUACUUAUAAAUUAAUUAAUAUAAUAUAUAUAUAUAUAUAUAUAAAAAUUAUAUAUAUUAUAAUAUAUAUAUAUAUAUAUUAUAUAUAUAUAUAUAUAUAUAAUCUUGUAAAUAAUUUUAUUUAUAUAUGUGUUAAUAAUAAAUUAAUAUAAUUUAUAAAAUAAUAAAUUUAUAAAUUAAAAAAAUUAAAAAAUAAUAAAAAAACAUAUUACAAAAAAAAAAAAAGGGAAAUGGGUGUAGGGCGNNNNNNNNNNNNNNNNNNNNNNNNNUUUUUGAAUCAUGUUUUCUUUUUUUUUAAUUUUUUAAUUUAUGAAUUUAAUUUAUUAUAAAUUAUAUAAUUUAUAUUAAUACAUAUAUAUAAUAAAAUUAUUUACAAGAUUAAUAUAUAUAUAUAUAUAUAUAAUAUAUAUAUAUAUAUAUAUAUAUAUAUUAUAUAUAUAUAUAUUAAUUUAUAUUAUAUUAAUUAAAUUUAUAAGUAUAAUAUUAUUUAUAAUUUUGGAAAUAGGGUUAAUCUGUUAAGGUUAUUUAUGAAGUGCGACGCUAAUUAGGGUUAAGUAGAUUGGUGUACAACCAGAUUUUCCUAUAAAUAAGUGUUAUUUCUUGCAUUUUCUUCACCACUAUUUCCUAUCCCUUUCUCUAUCAGUGAGUUCAUGGCAUCCAAGACCGCGUCAUGGCAGCGGAACAUCAUCAAGGCCCCGGAUCCUGAACAAGUAAUCUUAAAAGGGAUGGGCAUGUUAUUUCUUGCCUUUGAAACCCCAAUGGAGAUGAAAUUUUGGAACAUCCGUUCGUUGACAACUAAAAAGGUCCUUGAUGUCUUGGUUAGAGGGGAUUACCAACCUGGUGAGUCAUCAGAAGGAUUCAGAGCUUAGAACAAGGUUCUCAUUUGAAACUGGAGAAACGAUACGUUGGUGGGUUGAAGUUGAAGCGACAUUGAUUGCAUCAAAUGAUGCAUGGAUCAGACGACAUAGUGUUAACUGUUGUAAUUUCUUAGACUUUAAUGUUGUUUGUCAUGUUGUUGUUGUAUUUUUAUUGUUCUAGUACUUGUUCUUGUUUAGUACUUGUUUUUGUUCUAGUAUUUGUUUGUUUAGUAAUUGGUGUUGUAAUGUUAGAUGUUUGUGUUUGUUGUUCAAGUGUCAUCUUCUAUUUGGAAUAAAAGUAACUUUAAUGAUAAUAGCAUUGGUACACAGAUUAUGAAUAGAAAACUAAGUUGUGGAACUAGAUCCGAUAUGGACAUUUGUUCUUAUUAUGCCCUAGUUGUCUACAUAUGCUACACUUCCUCUGCAUUUUCUCUGCGACUUCCAUUUCGUUCUAAUGCCUCUGGCUAUUUGGGCGACCACUUUUAUUCGCCGCAUCGAUUCGUUUGUCAAAGCAAUUUCCCCGUCAUACUCUGGCCAAUACGCCUCAAUCUACCACCGCAAGGAUUGUGAUACAUUGAGCGAAUGUUGCACAUUUUAUUUUUGGUUUUUUUGAGUGGGAGACACUAGCGAUAAUGCAUCGAAGUGAGACUGUGUGAACACGCUGCAAUUCAUGGGCACAAGGCAUCCGAAGGCCGAAAUUGACAACAGUCGCAACCAACGGUCUGGUAUUAGGACCUAUACUCUUAUCUGGGCAGCCCUUGUUGUGGUCAAUUGUUUCCUUGACACUAAAAGUGGGCCAUGGCGGUCGAAUUCCUGUAACCGAUGGCUACUGGCUUUGGCAGAUUCCUGCCUCAUAACUCAUGCAGGCAUCACUAUAUACUUGACUCGUCUGCAACACUUCAUGCAGCGCCUGCCUCUUGUUACGAACAACGUUCAUCCGAAAAUAGGGUCGCACUCACCAAUGGUUACCGGGAGUUACGAUCCCUUAAAGGCCAUUCAUUGAUUCCGCAAUAUGUUGUUCAUGUGGCCACCUCACCCCAUCUGUCGUAUGAAUUCUCCACUUCGCUCUGGUCGUAUUAUCGAUCAGCACCUCCCUGAUCAGAUUUCCAACACUAUUUCCCUCGAUUGCGGUAUAUUGGAAUCCAGGUUGUUUAAAUGCAUACCCGCGUUUAAUAAUGUUGCUUCAAAAGUUAUCUUGAACUCGCCGCCUAUAAAAUUUUGAGCAAUAUGCCUGAUGCAUAGACAUGGGUAGACGGGGGGUCAUAGCAACCAUUGCUGGAUUUUGUAUGCACUGGUUAUGAGUGCCUGUCAAAUACCACAGAUCCAAGCUUGUGGAGUCAGUGCGUUCGGAGAUCUUAAGGAAGAAACUCCAAGCAGCAGCCGUUUCUUCCUUCUACCAAUGCAAAGGCUAUGGAAAAUAUAGAAUUUCCAUCUUGUCGACCGCCAUCCAGUAACGAUCCUUGUUUUCCGCAUAAGCAAGUCCUCGCUUGAAAAGGUGGUUUGGCAGAAUGUACGAUGAUGCACGACGAUGCCAGAAAAGGUCUAUGGAAUUUCCAUUACCGUCUAGACAGUUCCGUCAGAGAUUGUGUCUGGCAAGGUCUCCAUUAUAGAAAUCGUCCCAGGAAUACAAUCGUAGCUGCAGCCAGGUAGCGUGGUAGUGUUUGUAUGACUCCUCCCAAGUUACCGUAUACCAGUUCAAUUGCCGUGGUUUUUCGCUAACCAAGCCUUUUUGUAUGACGGUCGUAUAUUUGAAACAGCCAGCAAUGGGAUUAAUUUUUUACCCUUCAGUGACGGGUCAGGCCUCAACUAGGUAAUAUGCGAAGUGGCAGACAUAUCAUGGCUAAGUUGCGAGGAUCCUGGCCAUGUUGGUGUGACGCAAUGUGAGCUUGAGAAAUGGACCCUAUCCCCAUGCAUUAUGUUUUCUUCUUGUAGAUGCCUAUCAACACUAUACCCACACUCCGGAUUUUUGCAUACAAUAACGUAUCUUCUCCGGAUUUGAUGUUGAAACAUCGUAGUCAACACAGUUUUCACAGUGCGCAGUUCUUUAUUGCUAACAGACACUCUUCCUUGGUCACGAAGUUGGUCACCCUUCUUAAGUCUCAUCAGACCUCAAUAUAUGGGUUGAGAACAAUUCUGAUGAUGGCGGAGGGGCCAUCCUCGCCAAGUUAGUGUUGUGAAGUGCGCAAGGGGUAGUAGCGUGCGCUAUAGAGUAUUGCACUUGGUCUCGUCUUCAGAAUCACGGUCACCAAGUCACACGUCCGCCACAUCAUCAACCACAUCGUCUUCACGUGGUGCUCAACUCUUGUUCUCAUCAAUCACAGGAUCAAAUACCUGUGACUGAUAUUCUGAGUUGGUUGAAUUGUUCCAACACAAUGUACAACACUAUGUAUCGUAACCAGAAUACUCAUGUUACGAAACAUGUAUUUGUCUCCAGUUCAUUGAUCAUGACUUAAAAACUUGACAGAGUUUCGAAAAAAAGGUGUUGGAUAAUAAAUUGGGGACACGGGUGGGGUCGUUGUUUAUUUGACUCAAUCUUUUCUCAAUAAGAGAUCAGCUCUUAUUUAGAUCAAAAAACGAGUGCAUUCGGUGUUUCUAAUAGGAAGCCAGACAUAUCAAUUCAUAAGUCUCCCAUGACGCUCGUAGCUUGAUUUGAUUUGUAUGGUGAAGAUGCCAUUGUUUGUGAAGGUUUUGUGAAGAUAUUGUUGAGUUUGUGAAGAUAUUGUAGGUUUUGUGAAGUUGUGAUGAAUAUUGUGAAGGUUUUGUGAAGGUUUGCUGUUUUGUGAGUUUUGUGAGUUGUUGUGAAGAUAUUGUGAAUACAUUUGUAAAAAAGUGUGUGAUAUUUAUACUGCAAGAUUCCCCAGAAGACAAGUGCAACUAGUCUGCCAAUGGCGUUGCCAACACUACCACCUAGCCUGGCACUAUUCUGCAAUUCGCCACGCAUGCCUUCCACGUGUCACACCUUCAUCAUCAGAUUCCACCAAUCUCUCCAAACAAAGACAAGUGCAACCUAGUCUGACCAAUGCAUGCUAACACUACCACUAGCCUGCACCUAUUCUGCAAGAUUCUCAACGCAUGUGGCCUUCCACGUGUCACACCUUGCAUCAUUAGAUUCACAAGUCUUCUCCCGCCACUCCUAGUGGCGACUUGCCCUACCCAUUAAGGGUAGGCGCCAACUAGGGUGGCGCCUAGGUUUAAUUUAGGGCCAAAAAUGGCCAUUUGUGUAAUUUUUUUGAAAAAUGGUGUAUUUUUGAAUUUUUUUUUUAAAUUUCUGGAUAUUUAAAAAAAAAAUUCUACAACAAUCUAUAUAUAUUAUUUGGCUAUAAGACGAAUUAUGUAUCCUAUCAUAUUGGCAAUUUUCUAAAUAAAAACCCAAAUUGAUUUAACUAAAUAAAAUUUUGUCUAUGUUUUUAAGUAUGUAAUGGUGCCACCGAGAUUUAAAUCCACAACUUCACACAUAAUAAAUUCUCUCAGAUAAGACCAAUCCUAGUAUAGCUAUAAGAAAUUAUAAGAACUUAUGUAUUGUAAAUAAUAUUUUAAAAUACUUAUGUUCAAAAUCAAUUGUCACCAUAGCUUUCAUAUCACCCUACACUAAUGCCAAUCAUAUUUGCAUCCAAAAUGCUAUUCCUAAGAUAUCAAAUAUCAAAUGCCUAAAAAAUUUCACAUGAUCCUCUUUGCAAUAGUAGUUAUGAUCAAGAUUAACAUUGUAGACAUUGACCAAAAAUUGAGUCAAGAAAAGUGCAUACUCAAUUUGGUAACGUUGGCUCGCACUCCAAUUGUUGAAAGAGACCAUACCUCUGACUUUGACUUGGAUGUCGACUAUAAGUCAUUUCUUCAAUACUGUUUUAUGAGCAUGAUGGUGGAUGCAUGACCAAACCAUCUAGAAUACAUGAACAAACCAAGAAGAUGAAGGUCAUAAACUUAUCAUGGAUGGAUGAUACUGUCAUACCCUAAAUUUUACCUUGAGUUUCCACUUGCAUCCUUAUAGUAAAAUUGAUCCUUUUUGUCAUGCAUUUCAUAAGUUAAAAGCAUUUAUCAGAGUUUAGAUGAAAAGUCAUGAAUUCUGGCAUUUUAUCUGGUCUUGAUAACUCUCAUUCAGUCAUCUGUUGAUUAAGAAAUCAAAAAGCUUGAUUUCUCAAAUCUCCAUGCAUCAUUCAUUAUGUUGCAUCUUAUUUCAGAGGUUCAGAAGAUGAUAAUCAAGAGUGUUGUCAUUGUCUUAAUCUUUAUAGAUUUUGUUUGUGUUUGAGAAUCAGCAGCAAAUGGUCCAAGAGCGAUUCAUUUGCAUCUGAUUGUCUGUUUACGUUUAUUCAGUCAAUGUUUCGGUGCAUUUACAAGACGUCUGCAUUUGUAUACUUGUCACAACAUGUAUUUUGUUUUGUAUAACACUUAAAAUGUCACACAAAAUAAUUUUUCGGAUCUACAGACAGAUCGGUCGAAUCGUUUUUCAACUGUACGUCGAAUUAGAGGGCAAAAAUUUUCAAAAUUGAGCUUUCAGACAUCAGUUUUAUUGAUCUAUGGUUCACGCAAGUUUAACCUGGUGAGCUCGUUUUAAUUUUUCGACUACUUUUUCGGUCGCAUUUUAAUCAGCUUGAGCCUUUUUAUCAGUCAUUUUUUAUUUCAAAGUUUGAUCGAAACUUGUAUGUUUUCGAGAGGUUUAUUUCGCGCUAAUCAUUAUAACGCCUUCAGUUUAUUUAUUUAUUUAUUUUGAACAUUUUUUGCACCCGAUUUUAUCCAUUUUUUAAAAAAAUCUAUUUUUUAAAUUUAUUUAGCCAUUUUUUAAUUAAUAGUAUUAAUUUCAGUUAUUACGCUUUUAAAAUUUAAUUUACUUUUAUUCUAUUUAAUUUUAUUCUAGUUUAAUUAUUAAGUUUGAUUUUAGUUUUUAUGAAUUUUAAAGAUCUUUUUUUAAUUAAGAGAAAAAAUUAUUAUUAUUAAUAUCUUAUAAAGUUUCUCCACAAACCGAAUGACACAUGGCCAUUUUCUCCUCCACACAAAUGUGUCUACGCGGACACCUCUCCCUCCAUGUAUCUUCUUCCUUUCCUCAUAUACUCACACACAGAAAGAUAUUUUUCCUUCACAAAACAAAUAACACUUCACCAUCUUUAACCACUCUUAACCAACACAAACACUACUCUUCUCCAUCUCUCUCCUUCACGUGAAGCCAUCACCAUCACAACCGAACCUCCUUACCUCCACCCCGGCACCAUAAAAUAUAACCCAUAACCAACAUUGCAUCACAUAUACACAUACUCCCUUCCAAUUGCUACUUAUUAAACACAACUCGUCUGCAAAUCGCCAACCGUGUUAGAACCGCGUUCACCACCAACGUUGCACACCUCCACACGUUAUCACCACCAUUACUCCAUUCUUCUCCGACGUUUCCGCAUUGCCGAUUCGUGCUUUCUGGUAACCUCCCUUUUUUUUCACUUUAAUAUUUGUGGUUUUCUUUGUUUGUAUGGGGUUUUUAAUGUGUAAUGGAAGAGAAAUAUGGUGUUUUGUUUGUGUUACAAUGGAACUAUUAAGUUAGAGAAGAAGAGAAAGUUUUAUUUUUCUACUUGGCACUGCAUAUUCACACAGGGAAGAGAAAGAGAUUGUUGUGUUUUAUUUUCAUUCACAGUGCCACGUGUCUGCUUCUAAGUGGCCUUUGGUGUUUGUUUGUUUUUAUAAAAAGAAAACCUCUCUCAUACUGAUAAGCUAAACCACCCCAUUUUUAUUUAUUUAUUUAUUUAUUUUGUUUAAAAUUUAUUUUUUAGUUUUUGUUUUAUUAUUAUUAUUAUUAUAUUAUUUACUAUAUUACUAUUAUUAUUAUUAUUAUUAUUUAUUCGUUAUUGUUACUAAUUAUUAUUAUUUAUUAUGGAUUAUUAUUAAUCAUUAGUUUGUGUUACAAUGGAGCUAUUAAGUUAGAGAAGAAGAGAAAGUUUAAUUUUUCUACUUGGCACUGCAUAUUCACACAGGAAAGAGAAAGAGAUUGUUGUGUUUUAAAUUUUUGUUAUUCACAGUGCCACGUGUCUGCUUCUAGGUGGCCUUUGGUGUUUACUUUUUUUAUAAAAAAAAUCUCUCUCUUGCUGAUAAACUAAACCGCCCCAUUUUAUUUAUUUAUUUUGUUUAAAUUUUAUUUUUUACUUUUUGUUAAUUGUUAUUACUUUUAUUAUUAUUAUAUUAUUAUUUACUAUUUACUAUUAUUAUUAUUAUUAUUAUUAUUAUUAUUAUUAUUAUUUAUUCGUUAUUAUUACUAAUUAUUAUUAUUUAUUAUGGAUUAUUAUUAAUCAUUAUUAUUAUUGACUAUUAUUAUUAGUUAGCAUUAUUGUUAAUUCUAAUGGCUUUGGUGUUGUUUGUUUUUAUAAAAAGAAACCUCUCUCAUACUGAUAAGCUAAACCACCCCAUUUUUAUUUAUUUAUUUAUUAUUUGUUUAAAAUUUAUUUUUUAGUUUUUGUUUAUUAUUAUUAUUAUAUAUUUAUUACUAUAUUACUAUUAUUAUAAUUAUUAUUUAUUCGUUAUUGUUACUAAUUAUUAUUAUUUAUUAUGGAUUAUUAUUAAUCAUUAGUUUGUGUUACAAUGGAGCUAUUAAGUUAGAGAAGAAGAGAAAGUUUAAUUUUCUACUUGCACUGCAUAUUCACACAGGAAAGAGAAAGAGAUUGUUGUGUUUUAAAUUUUUGUUAUUCACAGUGCCACGUGUCUGCUUCUAGGUGGCCUUUGGUGUUUACUUUUUUUAUAAAAAAAUCUCUCUCUUGCUGAUAAACUAACCGCCCCAUUUUUUUAUUUAUUUUGUUUAAAUUUUAUUUUUUACUUUUGUUAAUUGUUAUUACUUUUUAUUAUUAUUAUUAUUAUUAUUUAGCUAUUACUAUAUGAUUAUUANNNNNNNNNNNNNNNNNNNNNNNNNGUUAAUUAUGUUGAUAUCAUUGUUACAUAUUAUUAUGGUUGGUUUUAUUAUUAAUUAUUAUCAUUUAUUUACUGUUAAAAUUUUACUGUUGAUUAUUAUUGUUUUCUCAUAUUAUUUAUUAUCAUUAUUUAUUAUUUAUAAUUUUUUUUAAUUAUUUAUUAUUAUUAUUGUGUUCUUAUUAUUUGUUUAUAUUGUUUAUCACUAUUAUUUAUUAUUAUGAUCAUUUUAUUUUUUAUAUUUAUUUAUUGUCUAUUUAUAUUUAAACUAUUAAGAAGGAGAUUCGAUUUUUUUGGUCUCGUCGGUUUUUCAUAGAUGCGAUCCAAUUUCGGAGUUAAAAGUUCAAUUUAACUUCAGAAAAUUUGCUUCAAUACAUAGAGUUUUGUUGAGCAACCUCAGAUAGAGUUGUUUUCUACAUAAAUACAAUUAUGAUUAUUUAACAAAGCGCUAAAUUUCUUUUAGUUUAUUUCUGAUUUUAACAUCGAGUCCCUUGGCUUUCUCUUGGGCCUUCUUACAACGAGAUUCUUUUAUUUUUGCAACUGUCUUUUAAAACUUAUAUAUUUAGUUAUUGUGUUGUAUUCCCAUUCGAUAAAAUGUAUCCCCAUUCCCAAAAUGUGUAAUAAAUUUUACUGCUUUUGUUUAUUUUUAUUGUAUUAGUUGAUUGUUAAUUCCAAAAUUAAAAUCAACCUUUUUUAGAAAAGAACACAAAACAAACACUCGAUCCAACGUCGAGUCUUUUGUCCUAAAUCAAAUCCAUAUUGAUUAUAAAGUCAAAUAUACCCCGCCACAUCCAAAUUAUUUUCAUAAGUCAGCUUCUGACACUUGAUCCAACGUCAAGUCGUCCCCUAUUUUUAAAAUCUUUUCACAAUAAAAAUGAAGAAACUGAUUAAGUUUAGACUUUCUCUGUUUCGAAUGUUAGGAUAUCUGCUGUAGAGCUCAAUGUUCAAACAUUCGUCUUCCAUAUUAAAAUACAAUAUUACUAGAAUAGGUCAUUUCUCUUAUAGAAGAAAAGAUGAUUGGGUAUCGACCUUCUCUUUCCCGAUUAUUUGGACACUGUUGUAGAGCUCUCUGUCUGAUUAAUCGUCUUCCGUUAAUGAACUUUGACCUAAUUUGCCAUACAUUUUCAUAAACAAACUUUUGGAUGAAAAAGAGUCAUUGGGCUUAGGCCUCUUCCUUUUCGAGCAUCUGAGUACUGCAGUAGAGCUCCCUGCUUAGAUGCUUGUCUCCGCUUAAAAUCAACUCAAACUCAUCAAACUUGUUUUCCGCCCUUGUGCGACUCCGAAAACAUUUUGAGAAAAGAGUAUGCAAUAUCCAUUUUGAUGCGAAACAAACAAAGACUUCGGCCUCCAAGAUGAACAACAAGUAAAUGUUUAAUCGCUCAAAUAUGAUCCAAGCAUCACUCUCUUUAAAAGCAAUCCACCUAGUAGUUCUCUUUGGGUAGAACUACGUAUGCCUUGAGUUCUUCAUAGCACCUGGAGAUACGUAGGAGAAGGAUUGUGAAAUCUUGUCAGGCACAUUAAUAUUAAAAACCUUAAUCUUUCCUUUUUUCUUUCUUUUUCCUCACUCGAUAAGUAAAAGAUCGCAAACGAUAUCACGCUAACACUCUAACACAAAAACUAACUAAAUGGGUCCAUCGAGUACGAUGGAUGUGAGGGGUGCUAAUACCUUCCCCUUGCAUAACCGACUCCCGAACCCGAUUUGGUUGCGACGACCAUUUCUCUUUUUAUUUUUUGUGGGUUUUAUCGAUAUUUCCCCUUUCCCUCUUUGGGAAUAAACAAGUUCGGUGGCGACUCUGCUUUAUUUAUAUUUCGAGCGUCCCUACGCUUGGGUAAUUUUCGCGCCGCGACAGAUACGAAGCAAUUUUACAGACUAAAAAUCUUUUUUUACAAUAGACCAAAACAUCAUUUGCAAAUAUGAAAAUAUUUAUGAAUAAAAGGUGAUUUUUUAAGAAAUGAAUGAUAUUGUCUACCUUGCUUGAUUCAUAGAGAGAAAAUGAAAGCUUUCGUUGGUGUUGAUUACGUGUUGAUUACAAGGCUUUGCAAGUGGAGAUGAAAACAUUAACAAAAGAGAUUAUGAUCAUUUUCUUCUCCAAAACAAAACUGUUUGGUUUCCUUCUUCAAAGAUUAAAAGUAACAUAGAGAUUCCUGCUCACUUAUCAAAAUCAUAAUUCACUUAAAAUUUCCCAUAGUAAGAAGACAAACACUUUAGAAAGAUACCAGGAGCAUCACGGCUACCGAAUUUCACAAAUAACUUUACAAAACCCUGUUCUACAUACCUGCAACUUCCACGAGAAUUCAGAAGAAAUCCACACAAUCAGUUUGUGAUUCACUUCCUUUAGACUUUUAUAAAUUUAGUCCAACAAGACAUAGUAGACAUAGUUUUUUUUACUAUGGUUGGAACCAAAGUGAAAAUCAAAUGGAAAAUAUAAUCAGGGUCAAAUUCCCGAAUCCCUGAAACACUUAUCUUUUAACAAUUUUUCCUUUCACAAUUGCAAUUACUAAUGAAAAAUUGAAUUUUAAACCUAUGCCGCACAACCUCACCAUAUUGGAAUAGAAAAAAUGAAUGACCAAACAUAGUCAACAAAUUAAAUUGAAAGAAGCAUAGUUCUUAAGAAAAAAAAAAUUAAAAUCAGACUUUUUUAUUACCUUAUCGAUUCCCGCUGCGUCAUCAAAGAGAAAGCCUAAUCGGUUAUUCUUCUUAUAUUUCGGUGUAGUAAGGUUACAAAACAGCCCCUUGCCACGGUAGAAUCAAGAUGAUGAAGAGAAAAUCUAGCAACUACGGCGGCCUCGAAAGGAGAGAGAUAGUUCUAUGGUUGCCUGAAUCUGAGAGUAGAUAAAAGAGUUUCAGUGACUAAAAGGGUUUCAGGUCGCGUGAAUCUGAAAGUAAGGAUAAGGAUUUGAAGGAGUCUGAGCGAAGAGAUGGUGGUUUUUCUUUUUUUAUUAAACUAAACAAUCUUUAAGAUUUUUAUUUAAUAGAAUUAAUUUUAUAUUUUUAAAACUGCUUUUUUAUGAAAAUAUAUUUAAAUAAGAGUAAUAUUCAUGUUAAUCCACUUGUCAUAAAUUAAAAAAAUAAUUGAAAUAGUCAUUAUUAAUAAAUUUUGUAUAAAAAAUCAAUAAUUUUCAAAGACUUUCCAAAAGUUUUUACAAAAAAAUUUAAAAACAAUUUUAAUUUAAUUAUAUAAAAUUUUAUUAAAAUUAUUUAAAAAUCCAACCAAAUCGUCUCAUUUAAAUAUUAGUGAGAUAUUUCAAAAAUUAGUAUAUAAAAUGAUACUAAUUUGAUUAUCCUGAUUAUUAAGAUAUGUAUAAAUCAGAAUUAUAAAUAGUCUAUAAUAAUUUUAAUUUCUUGUUUUAAUUGAUUUAAUUGUAAUUGUAUUCUCUUAUUUUAGUUUUUUAAGUGAAUUUUAUUAAUAUUAAAAAAAAAUAUUAUUAUUAUUAUUAUUAUUAUUAUUAUUUAUUCGUUAUUAUUACUAAUUAUUAUUAUUUAUUAUGGAUUAUUAUUAAUCAUUAUUAUUAUUGACUAUUAUUAUUAGUUAGCAUUAUUGUUAAUUGUUAAUUAUGUUGAUUAUCAUUGUUUACAUAUUAUUAUGGUUGGUUAUUAUUAUUAAUUAUUAUCAUUUAUUUACUGUUAAAAUUUUACUGUUGAUUAUUAUUGUUUUUCUCAUAUUAUUUAUUAUCAUUAUUUAUUAUUUAUAAUUUUUUUUAAUUAUUUAUUAUUAUUAUUGUUGUUCUUAUUAUUUGUUUAUAUUGUUUAUCACUAUUAUUUAUUAUUAUGAUCAUUUUUAUUUUUUAUAUUUAUUUAUUGUCUAUUUAUAUUUAAACUAUUAAGAAGGAGAUUCGAUUUUUUUGGUCUCGUCGGUUUUUCAUAGAUGCGAUCCAAUUUCGGAGUUAAAAGUUCAAUUUAACUUCAGAAAAUUUGCUUCAAUACAUAGAGUUUUGUUGAGCAACCUCAGAUAGAGUUGUUUUCUACAUAAAUCACAUUAUGAUUAUUUAACAAAGCGCUAAAUUUCUUUUAGUUUAAUUUCUGAUUUUAACAUCGAGUCCCUUGGCUUUCUCUUGGGCCUUCUUACAACGAGAUUCUUUUAUUUUUGCAACUGUCUUUUAAAACUUAUAUAAUUUAGUUAUUGUGUUGUAUUCCCAUUCGAUAAAAUGUAUCCCCAUUCCCAAAAAUGUGUAAUAAAUUUUACUGCUUUUGUUUAUUUUUAUUGUAUUAGUUGAUUGUUAAUUCCAAAAUUAAAAUCAACCCUUUUUUAGAAAAGAACAAAAACAAACACUCGAUCCAACGUCGAGUCUUUUGUCCUAAAUCAAAUCCAUAUUGAUUAUAAAGUCAAAUAUACCCCCGCCACAUCCAAAUUAUUUUUCAUAAGUCAGCGUUCUGACACUUGAUCCACGUCAAGUCGUCCCCUAUUUUUAAAAUCUUUUCACAAUUAAAAUGAAGAAACUGAUUAAGUUUAGACUUUCUCUGUUUCGAAUGUUAGGAUACUGCUGUAGAGCUCAAUGUUCAAACAUUCGUCUUCCAUAUUAAAAUACAUAAUUACUAGAAUAGGUCAUUUCUCUUAUGAAGAAAAAGAUUGAUUGGGUAUCGACCUUCUCUUUCCCGAUUAUUUGGACACUGUGUAGAGCUCUCUGUCUGAUUAAUCGUCUUCCGUUAAUGAACUUUGACCUAAUUUGCCAUACAUUUUCAUAAACAAACUUUUGAUGAAAGAGAGUCAUUGGGCUUAGGCCUCUUCCUUUUCGAGCAUCUGAGUACUGCAGUAGAGGCUCCCUGCUUAGAUGCUUGUCUCCGCUUAAAAUCAACUCAAACUCAUCAAACUUGUUUCCGCCCUUGUGCGACUCCAAACAUUUUGAGAAAAGAGUAUGCAAUAUCCAUUUUGAUGCGAAACAAACAAAGACUUCGGCCUCCAAGACGUGAACAACAAGUAAAUGUUUAAUCGCUGCAAAAUGAUCCAAGCAUCACUCUCUUUAAAAGCAAUCCACCUAGUAGUUCUCUUUGGGUAGAACUACGUAUGCCUUGAGUUCUUCAUAGCACCUGGAGAUACGUAGGAGAGGAUUGUGAAAUCUUGUCAGGCACAUUAAUAUUAAAAACCUUAAUCUUUCCUUUUUUCUUUCUUUUCCUCACUCGAUAAGUAAAAGAUCGCAAACAGUAUCACGCUAACACUCUAAACACAAACUAACUAAAUGGGUCCCAUCGAGUACGAUGGAUGUGAGGGGUGCUAAUACCUUCCCCUUGCAUAACCGACUCCCGAACCCGAUUUGGUUGCGACGACCAUUUCUUUUUUAUUUUUGUGGGUUUUAUCGAUAUUUCCCCUUUCCCUCUUUGGGAAUAAACAAAGUUCGGUGGCGACUCUGCUUUAUUUAUAUUUCGAGCGUUCCCUACGCUUGGGUAAUUUUCGCGCCGCGACAGAUACGAAGCAAUUUUACAGACUAAAAAUCUUUUUUUACAAUAGACCCAAAACAUCAUUUGCAAAUAUGAAAAUAUUUAUGAAUAAAAGGUGAUUUUUUUAAGAAAUGAAUGAUAUUGUCUACCUUGCUUGAUUCAUAGAGAGAAAAUGAAAGCUUCUCGUUGGUGUUGAUUACGUGUUGAUUACAAGGCUUUGCAAGUGGAGAUGAAAACAUUAACAAAAGAGAAUUAUGAUCAUUUUCUUCUCCAAAACAAAACUUGUUUGGUUUCCUUCUUCAAAGAUUAAAAGUAACAUAGAGAUUCCUGCUCAACUUAUCAAAAUCAUAAUUCACUUAAAAUUUCCCAUAGUAAGAAGACAAAACACUUUAGAAAGAUACCAGGAGCAUCACGGCUACCGAAUUUCACAAAUAACUUUACAAAACCCUGUUCUACAUACCUGCAACUUCCACGAGAAUUCAGAAGAAAUCCACCACAAUCAGUUUGUGAUUCACUUCCUUUAGACUUUUAUAAAUUUAGUCCAACAAGACAUAGUAGACAUAGUUUUUUUUUACUAUGGUUGGAAACCAAAGUGAAAAUCAAAUGGAAAAUAUAAUCAGGGUCAAAUUCCCGAAUCCCUGAACACUUAUCUUUUAACAAUUUUUCCUUUCACAAUUGCAAUUACUAAUGAAAAAUUGAAUUUUAAACCUAUGCCCACAACCUCACCAUAUUGGAAUAGAAAAAAUGAAUGACCAAACAUAGUCAACAAAUUAAAUUGAAAGAAGCAUAGUUCUUAAAGAAAAAAACAAUUAAAAUCAGACUUUUUUAUUACCUUUAUCGAUUCCCGCUGCGUCAUCAAAGAGAAAGCCUAAUCGGUUAUCUUCCCUUAUAUUUCGGUGUAGUAAGGUUACAAAACAGCCCCUUGCACGGUAGAAUCAAGAUGAUGAAGAGAAAAUCUAGCAACUACGGCGGCCUCGAAAGGAGAGAGAUAGUUUCAUGGUUGCCUGAAUCUGAGAGUAGAUAAAAGAGUUUCAGUGACUAAAAGGGUUUCAGGGUCGCGUGAAUCUGAAAGUAAGGAUAAGGAUUUGAAGGAGUCUGAGCGAAGAGAUGGUGGUUUUUCUUUUAUUAUUAAACUAAACAAUCUUUAAGAUUUUUAUUUAAUAGAAUUAAUUUUAUAUUUUUAAAACUGCUUUUUUAUGAAAAUAUAUUUUAAAUAAGAGUAAUAUUCAUGUUAAUCCACUUGUCAUAAAUUAAAAAAAAUAAUUGAAAUAGUCAUUAUUAAUAAAUUUUGUAUAAAAAAUCAAUAAUUUUUCAAAGACUUUCCAAAAACGUUUUUACAAAAAAAUUUAAAAACAAUUUUAAUUUAAUUAUAUAAAAUUUUAUUAAAAUAUAUUUAAACAUAAUCCAACCAAAUCGUCUCAUUUAAAUAUUAGUGAGAUAUUUCAAAAAUUAGUAUAUAAAAUGAUACUAAUUUGAUUAUCCUGAUUAUAUAAGAUAUGUAUAAAUCAGAAUUAUAAAUAGUCUAUAAAUAAUUAUUAAUUUCUUGUUUUAAUUGAUUUAAUUGUAAUUUGUAUUCUCUUAUUUUAGUUUUUUAAGUGAAAUUUUAUUAAAAUAUUAAAAAAAAAAGAGGUUUGAAUGAUUUUCAUACGGUAAUCUUUUUAUAUUGAAAAAUUAUUUUUAUAUUCAUAAAAAAAUAAAAUUAUUAUAAAAUAGCAUGGUUACGUAAAGUUUAUAACUAUUUAUUUUUCGAUAAAAAAUAGUACCUUUUGAUAUAAUUUAUAACCAAUCUAAAAUUGAAAUAAAAAUAAACAAAUAGAAUAAAGAUAGAAAAAGAGGAAAAAUAUAUAUGUUAAUUAAUAAAAUUAAUGAGAUAAGAACAUAUAUAAAACAAUUUGCUGAUUCUAAUAUGUUUUCUUUAAGAUGCGAUUUUAUAUGUGGAAUUUAUAACCUACGCUAUUUACAUGUGGCCUAUUACCAAAACUGUAGCCUUUUGUAAUAAAUAAGAAAAGACAACAAGUCUAAAGCGUAGCCAAAAUAUCUAAGUUGCAUAUUCUUUAUAUAGGCGACGGUUGUGUAAUACCCACACUAAAAAUAGUGUGGCUUAUAGGGAACAUGGGACAAUAUUAUUUUCAAAAAUCUAUAAAUUUGACAACGCUUUGUAAAGCGCGGCCUAUAACGCUUUAGACUGCGGUUUUAUAGCCGUUGCCUAUUCUUCCGUUGCCUAAAGUAAAAAAUAUUGUAGUGUGUCUGACUACUUUUUUCCCCAUAUUUAAGUGAGAUCCUAUGCAUACAUAUGGAUGGGCUAAAAUCACGAGUGUCAGUCAAGGUCCAUCGAAUUCCCUUCUUAUAUUCCUGCUCAAGUUGAUGUUUUGAUGAAUAAUAUAAAUCCUCAGGAAGUGGUUUAAGCUCUAAAGAAGGUGGUUGUUCAAUGGACAAUAUGUUUGGGGAAGUCGGAAUGUCAAGAGCUUCAGCUACAUAAACAACUCCAUUUUCACUGUCAGCCUGCAAGGCAUUAUCAAUCUCAUCACAAACAACACAAAGGUUAGUGUUAAUAGAAUCAUCACAUAAGUAAAUAUCAUCAAAAGCAGAUAAAGUUGGAAAAUCAUCUGAAAACAAAUAAGAAUAAGCUUCAUCAACAAUUUCAGAAAGCAACUUUAUUUAAAAAACAUAAUGCUCUUCCACGGGAUGUUUCAUAGCAUUAAAAAUGUUGAAUUUUGCGAUAAUUUCCCCAGAUUCCAUGGACAUGGUUCCAUGUCAACAUCAACUUUUGUUUUAGCUGUUUUCAUGAACGGUUUGCCCAAAAUGAUUGGUGAUCUACUUGAAUUUAUUUCGACAUACAUGUCCAGAAUGUAAAAAUCUGCAGGAAAAAUCAAGUCAUUAACUUGCACGAGGACAUCCUCCACUACUAUGACAGGGUGGGCAUUGCUUUUGUUUGCCAGUUGAAUGAUUAAACUUGUAUGCUACAAAGGACUAAGAUUAAGAUUAUUAUACACAGAAUUCUGCAUAACAUUAAUGCCUGCUCCUAAAUAAAGCAUGCAAUUUUCGAAUUUAUUAUCCCUAAUGGUACAAGGAAUAAAGAAAGUUCCUGGAUCCUUGGACUUUUGUGGCAUGACCUGAUUGAGGGUUGAACCAGUAGGUGAAGGUUUAGCCUGAAUAAGGGUCGAAACAUUUCAUUGUCUCGUUUCCGAUAAGCCUCGUCUUGUGUGUGGAUAAAUCUUUCUGAAAUUUUGCAUAUUUCCGAACCUGGUUAAUCAUAUAAAGUAGUGGAAUAUUCACUGCCACCUUUCUAAAUACAUCUAAAAUCUCUCUCUCUCUCUCUCUCUCUCUCUCUCUCUCUCUCACACACACACACACACACACACACACACACACACACACACACACACACACACACUCUUUGUCUUCCUCAUCAAUUUUCUUAUUUUUCAGAACUCUUUGUGGAAAAGAGAUUGGUGGUACAUACUCUUUUUCAGCCUCAACAACAACAGAAGGUUUAGGUGCGACAAUAACAAUUUUUUUAUUUUUUUUAAGGCUGGUUUUGUAACUUUUUUGGAUCUCAAGGAAAUUACACUUACAUUAGGUCCUUUUGGAUUCACUACUAUUUGGGCAAGUAAUUGGUUCGAUCCUUGAGCUUGCUGCAUGACAUUCAUUGAAGUGGCAAGCUUGCCAAUUUGUGUUUGCAAAGUUUGAAUACUAGAAUCAGGUCGUUGUUGAAACUGAAGAUUAUUCACAACCAUUUACUUGACAAGAUCCCUAAGUGAAGGUUCAGAAGGUGCAAAGGUGGUUACUUGGAAGGGUUCUGUGGAGGUGGCAAGGGUAACAUCAACUGUUGUUAGCUAGGUUGUGAAUUCCCGUAUCGAAGGUUUGGGUGGUUUCUCCAGUUGGGAUGACAUUUGUUAGUGGACAGGUCAGGAAUGUUGUACCUAUUCUGAUUGUUCCCUUGAUUGUAAAAGGCUGAUGUAUAUGCUUGAGGCAACUCAAUGACCAACUCAUAUUGUAGAAGAGGACAUGUAUCGAUCAGGUGUUUGAUAUAAGUACAAAUACCAUACAACUUUGAUGUUUGGGAUUUACUUAUUGUCAACAGUUUCACUAAAGAGGUAAGUUCAUCAAUUCUUGUUUCUAGAGCUUUGUUGAAAGAAGAAACCUGAAUCUCAUUCACACCUUUUACUUGGACCAAAGAAUUAUCCCUAGUUGUGAAAUGUUGGGAGUUGAGUGACAUGUUCUCAAUCAAGGAUUUAUCAACAAGUGUUCAACCACUAGCAACAUCUAAAAUGCUUAUGUCCAUUGGUAGUAAUCCCUCAUAAAAGUAUUGGAUAAGUAACUGCUUGGUAAUCUGGUCUUGAGGACAGUUGGACACUAACUAUUUGAAUCUCCCCUAGUAUUAUGCCAAUGAUUCAUAUCCCUAUCUAAUACCACAUAUAUCCUUUAUGAUUGAUGCAGUUCGGAGGAAGGAAAGUAUCUUUCUAGGAAGACUUUCUUUAAAUCAUUGCAGCUUGUGAUAGAGUUAGGAUCAAGAUAAUACAACCAAUCUUUUGCAACUCCUUGAAGUGAGAACAGGAAUGCUCUGAGCUUGAUAUGAUCCUCUGUGAUUCCUUUAGGUCUCAAAGGUGUUGAGCACACAACCUGGAAUUCCUUCAGAUGUUUAUACGGAUCCUCACCUGCAAGACCAUUAAACCUUGGCAACAAGUGUAUUAAACCAUAUUUCAAUUCAAAAGGUACAUCAACAGUAGGAUAUUCAAUACAUAAAGCAUUAUAAUUCACAUUAGGGGCAACAAGUUGUCUAAGAGUUCUUUGAUUAACCAUGUUAAACUAAAUAGAAAACAUAUUAACAAAGAAUGAGAAAACACAUAACUAAUUCAGUAAUGCAACAACGAUUAGGGAAAUACCGACAAUGUCUAUAAUAAGCAAAAACAAAUGGACGACAAAUAAAACGAUUAAAAUAAGAUGCAAAAAAUAAAAAACAUGAAAUGUAAUCUAAUUAAGUCAAAUAAGAAUUUUGAGAUUUUUUUUCGGAUUUUUCUAAAACCAUGAAAACAGAAAACAAAUCAUAAAAAUAGAAAAAUAAGGAAUUUCAGAUUUUUAGGGGCGUCCUCUAUUUAAAUAGAGGUUUUUGAUACUUGAUUUUUUUCUAAUGAAUAGGAAAAGAAUCAAACGAAUCUGAGAAGAAUUUCCUUAAAACCGAUUUUUUAAUGCUAAAAUGCGAAAAUUCCAGAACAUAAGAACGUUGAGGCAAGAAUGCUGAAACACAACACCUAUGACUAUAAUAAUGGUUAAAAUCUACAAGAGUCCCCAACAACUGUGUCAAUUUGAUUCGUUGUCGCACACAGGUCAAAAACUAGUAAUUUAGAACGGUAGUCUAGGGAAGUGACACUCGAGUAUCGUAUCGCAAGGACUCUUGGAAAAUUAACCAAAUAAGGAAACAAAAUAGGGGGUUUUCGUUUUAAUUUAGAAAAAGUGAUUAUAAAAAGUGAUUAUGAAAUAAGUUGAUCUAAUGAUUUGGUUUCCUAACUUAUCAUUGGUUAAUAUAAUUUUCAUGCCCUAAGCGAAUUCUAAUUCAUUUUCGAUUACAACAACAAUAACAAGCGCAAUAAUACUAAUAUAUGAUAUAUGUUCCUAAUUUUGAAAUUAAGCAAACAAAUUAUGAAUUAAGCAAACGGGUUAAGCACAUGUGAAUUAAGCAAACACGAUUGUGGAACAUAUAUCAAUAGAAAUUAAUCAACACAUAUUUUAUAGAAUUUAUAUAAAUCAUACAAGAUAUAGAACAAAAUGUUGAAAGGGAAAAGAUAUUUUAUUGAAAAUUAAGAAACCUCAAAGUAUUGGCGAAAACCGAUUACAACAAAUCAACCUUGUGAACUUUAGUUCUCCAUGAAAUCGUCUAACAAAUAUUGUAUCGUGAAAAUUCAGAAUAUGAUUGUUGUAGCAGCGAAAAUCCUUAUAAAACAAAAGGGAAAUUCUGGCACUUAUGGGACCCGACCCGAAAAUUACAAAAAU
rnacentral:lncRNA from 1 species